rnacentral:tRNA from 1 species
GCCUUCGUGGUGUAGUGGUCAGCACGCUCGGCGCGUAUUCGAGAGGUCCGUGGUUCGAGUCCCAGCGAGUGUA